rnacentral:rRNA from 1 species
AAUUGACGGGGGCCCGCACAAGCGGUGGAGCAUGUGGUUUAAUUCGAUGCAACGCGAAGAACCUUACCUGGUCUUGACAUCCACAGAACUUUCCAGAGAUGGAUUGGUGCCUUCGGGAACUGUGAGACAGGUGCUGCAUGGCUGUCGUCAGCUCGUGUUGUGAAAUGUUGGGUUAAGUCCCGCAACGAGCGCAACCCUUAUCCUU